CUUCUACUCAUGAAUUUUCACAUUGCAGUGUUUAUGAGCUUCUCUGAACUAGUGACCCCUGAUCCUGAAAUUUUACUUCACAAUUCCACAAUUUCUCCACAUUCUAUUCUAGUGCUGGAUUAGUGACUCGUCAAUUAUUAAGCAUACAGCUAGACUGCAUCUUAUAAAUAUAUUCAAAAGGUAAUCAAAGUAAAUAUAUUCAGGAUACAAGGCUUAUACAAGCUUAUAGAAGGCUUAUACAAGCAUUGUAAAUACAAGGCUUGAACUUGUCAGAACUGUAGCCUCUACUGAUAUGGAUUCAAAAUUGCAGGUAGGCUAUAAUGGACCUGGGCCACUGAGAGUAUAUUCUAGAAGGAAGAUCAAAGAAAAUGCUAAAGGUAUGGCUGUUGAGCUAGACGAUUCU
rnacentral:misc_RNA from 1 species